rnacentral:lncRNA from 1 species
GGGGGUUGUAGGAUGGAGCUGGGGAAGAGGAAAAGUAUCAUAGCACAGCUUCCAGAUAACUGAGUGGGGACAGGCCAGACAUCAUCAUCCCAUCCCCUGUGUUUCAUGUGCUUUCCCAUCCUCUUACUUUCCUCUCUAUUCCAUGUGCUUUCUUAUCUUCUUAAUCUCCCUUCUAAUGCAACAUCAGAGAAGGGUGUGGACUCUACAUCCCAGAACCAGGAGCUAAUAGAGAAGAACCAAGUGUGAUGUGGAGUCUGCUAGACAGGUUGCUGGAGCAAGAGUGAAAAGAUCAGGGUUCCAUCAUUGGGACACUUUAGGGAGGCAGCAGAUGGCUGAAAUUCUGAAGCAAUGUGGCUGGUUAAUGCACGAUCUGAAAACCCCUGCACUGGUGAUUUUGGGACAGAUCUAGAAUAUACCAAUAAAUAUAUUAACAUACCAAGUAGUCCAGGAGCAGCCACUGGGCAAACACCAAACCUUGCAUCCCCGGUGCUGUCUCUGAGCUCAACAGACACGUCUUUGCAGAAGAGUUCUAUAAUGGUGGUACAAUGGCGCCCCCCUCAUGACAGAAGCUUGAACUACAGCUUGAACAUCGUGUGACAUGGUGAAUGAAUUUAUUGAGCCCCAGAAAGAAGGAAUAUUAAAGAAGAGCAAAGAAUAAUAGCUGUACAGAAGAUGGGGGUCAUUGAACCUGUAUCCUAGUUGCCAGACCUGUAAAGUGACCACGGGACCUGGGGUGAGUCCUGUUCUUUUGUCGGCCUCUAGUCUACCACAGAAGGACAUUUAUUAUAGGAACAGUGGUUAGCUGUGUGGGCUUUGGGGUGAGAAGGACUUCGAUUUGAGUCUGGGAACUAUCACUUGAUGGUUGCAUAAUCUAGAGCACAUAAUUUAUCUAUCAUGUAUCCUAUAAUUGCUGGCAUUUUUAUUAUUGUUUAUGUUGUUUUAUUAUUGCACCAUUCAUCCAAAGGGUGAAUGAUAGGAAUCAGG